UACGGGGGAUGCAAGCGUUAUCCGGAAUUAUUGGGCGUAAAGCGUCUGUAGGUUGCUUAGUAAGUCUGUUGUUAAAGACUGGGGCUUAACCCCAGGAAAGCAAUGGAAACUGUUGAGCUAGAGUGUGGUAGAGGUAGAGGGAAUUCCUAGUGUAGCGGUGAAAUGCGUAGAUAUUAGGAAGAACACCGGUGGCGAAAGCGCUCUACUGGGCCAUUACUGACACUGAGAGACGAAAGCUAGGGUAGCAAAUGGGAUUAGAUACCCCAGUAGUCCUAGCCGUAAACGAUGGAUACUAGGUGUUGCGUAUUAUACAGUGUCGUAGCUAACGCGUUAAGUAUCCCGCCUGGGGAGUACACUCGCAAGGGUG
rnacentral:rRNA from 1 species